GAGAAGACCGAGCGCAGCAUCUGGAUGCCGAGUGGAAGGAGAGCAUCUUGAACAGACACACCAACCUAUUGGAUUCUGGUCACAACCAUGGAAAGGAGCAGAGGUCUUCUAACACCUUGAUAGAGAAGCAACCGGCUGGUGUGUACCGCACCUUGCUGGCAACAGAGCCCACCACCAGAACAGCUCCGACCAAGGUAAUGGCCAUUUAUCCCAUUGCAGGGGUGGGUAAGAGACUGGACCCAAAGGCCACAGAGUGACGUGGCACAGACACCUACACUGGCCAAAUGGGGAGCAUAUUUAUAGCAGUAUAGUGUCCUCUUUACUAGCCCCUUAAGUGGAGAACUCCAACGCUUACUGGGGCCAGUGAUCUAUAUCAGUGGAAAGCAGGAAGAAAUUGCUUUUGAGCCCUUGGUAGCUGAGAGCCCUUAUCAGGAGGGAAAAGUCCCUAUACCUGAAGAUGCUUGGUACACAGACACCUCCAGUUAUGGGCAGCCCCCGAAGUGGAGGGCUGUGGCUUUCCAUUCUAAGACUGAGGCAAUAUGGCUGGAGGAUGGAGAGGGGAAGAGCAGCCAAUGGACUGAGCUGCAGGCAGUAUGGCUCAUGAUCACCCAGGAGCCCUCCCCUAUAGUUGUCUGCACUGACAGCUGGGCCAUCUUAUUGGGGCUUGACGCUGUGGCUACUGACAUGGUAUCAUGCCAACUGGAUGGCUGGUCACCAGCCCCUUUGGAGGCAAGAGUUGUGGCAAGACUCAUGGGCCUCUGGUCAGACUGAGGCAGUUACCACAUAUCAUGUGACUGGCGAUUUGCCUUUGGCAUCCCCAGGGAAUGAUGAAGCAGACACGUUGGCCCAGGUGCGCUGGUUAGAAGGAAAGCCUGCCUCUGAUGUCGCCCAGUGGUUACAUUAGCAUUUUGUUGCACAUGGGGCAAAAGACAAUGUGGGCUGUAGCCUGUCAGUGGGACUUGCCAUUGACCUUUGAAGAAGUCAGCAGGGCCUGGAAGGAGUGCCCUGUGUGCUCCAAGAGGGACUUACACCGAGUCCUGCAGCAACAUGGGACAAUAGUAAAGGGGAAGAUACCCCUUGUCAGGUGGCAGAUAGACUACAUUGGACCUCUGCCCAUAUCAGAAGGAUAUUGGUAUGCCAUGACUUGUGUGGACAUGGCUACUGGACUAUUGGUUGCUUUUCCUUCACAUCAUGCAGAUCGGCAAACCACCAAGAGGGGCCUGGAGUGUCUCUUUGCAGCCUAUGGCUGGCUGCAGGUGAUUGAGAGUGAUCAUGGCACCCACUUUACUGGACAUCUGUUACAAGAAUGGGUGCAGCAAUUAGGAAUAAAGUGGAAAUUUCAUGUACCAUAUAACCCUACUGGGGCAGGCAUGAUAGAGAGGUACAACAGUUUGUUGAAAUCUGGCCUCAGGUUGGACACCAAUAGUCUACGGGGCUGGUCAGUUCGCCUAUGGACUGUGCUACAGCGUUUGAAUGAGAAGCCCCGAAAGGGAGCCUUGAGCCCCGUGGAUAUGCUAGCACACAUUGCUGCCUCUCCUAUACAACUGUUCGUGCAAACCAAAGAGGAGUUACUGAAGCCAGGAUAUGGCCAGCAGAGCAACAUCCUGUUGCCAGCCCCAACUGCAUUAAACCCUAGAGACACUGUUUAGUGGAUGUGGCCCUGGACAUUUCGACACACGGACCAGUGAUGGCUGGCCCUUCUGGCAUGUUGGGGUAAGGCCUGGAAGCUGGCCUCAUGCAUAUUUCUGGAGUAAUGGCAGAGUGGUCCUCAAAGAUCACGGUAGUGUAUCCAAAACAUCCAGGAGGGACUGUGGCCUGGAUGCACCCCCCUGACUGUAGCUGCUGCGUGAUGAUUGCUCUGAACUCCCUACGUGUUCAGCUAUUGCCUGCUUGUGGAAUGGGCUGAGAAGAGCCCAUGCCUGAAGAGAGGCCCCACGCACCAUUGAGAAGAAGGCUGAGGGAUGUUGUGUUGCCCCAGGGGUGCCUGGGUGCAUCAGGGCCGGGAAUCAGCAUGCUGAGCUGUGUCCAGUAGCCACGAAUGAGGAAACUGAGGCUCCAAGAAGUAAAGUGAUUCAUUGGAGGUCACCAGUCAGUGGUGGAGCUGGGAAGCAAGUGGUUGAAUCUUUAUUUCCGAAUCUCCUAAACUCUCAGUGACCCAGGCCCUCAGUCCUCAUCUCUAGAGCCCCUGUCUCCAUCCCCAGGGCUCUAGCCCCCAGCAUCAAAUGCCCAGCAGCCAGCCCUUAUUCCAGGGAGCUAGACUCCAGCCCCAGGCACUUUGCCUUCAGCCCCAGGACCCUGUUCCCAGGCACCUGGGCUCCAGGCCCAAACACCUGGUCUCAGUUUGGAUCCCCUCC